UACGUAGGGACCAAGCGUUGUUCGGAUUUACUGGGCGUAAAGGGCGCGUAGGCGGCAAUUCAAGUCAGUUGUGAAAUCUCCGAGCUUAACUCGGAACGGUCAACUGAUACUGUCUUGCUAGAGUACAGAAGGGGCAAUCGGAAUUCUAGGUGUAGCGGUGAAAUGCGUAGAUAUCAAGAGGAACACCUGAGGUGAAGACGGGUUGCUGGGCCGGACCUGACGCUGAGACGCGAAGGCGUGGGGAGCGAACGGG
rnacentral:rRNA from 1 species